CCAACUCAGCUUUGCCCCACACUCUAAGAACAGUCCUGUCCUUAUGGAAAAACUAAGGAACGCCUGCCAAAGCUGCUCAGAGAUCGGGAGAGCAC